GGGUUGGUAGCUCAGGUGGUUAGAGCGCACGCCUGAUAAGCGUGAGGUCGGUGGUUCGAGUCCACCUCGACCCACCA
rnacentral:tRNA from 1 species